ensembl:snRNA U6 U6 spliceosomal RNA
GUGCUUGUUUCAGCAGCACAUACAACAAAAUUAGAAUAAUGCAAAGAUUCAUAUGUCAUCUGCAUAAGAGUGAUAUGCAAAUUCUUGAAUUGUUCCAUAUUUUU